ACGCUGGCGGCGUGCCUAACACAUGCAAGUCGAACGGGGAUUUGUUUCGGCAGGAUCCUAGUGGCGAACGGGUGAGUAACGCGUAGGCAACCUGCCCUCCGGCCGGGGACAACACUCCGAAAGGGGUGCUAAUACCGGAUACGAAGUCUGUGCCGCAUGGUACGGAUUUGAAAGAUGGCCUCUAUUUAUAAGCUAUCGCCGGGGGAUGGGCCUGCGUCCGAUUAGCUGGUUGGUGGGGUAACGGCCUACCAAGGCGACGAUCGGUAGCCGGUCUGAGAGGAUGAACGGCCACAUUGGGACUGAGACACGGCCCAGACUCCUACGGGAGGCAGCAGUGGGGAAUCUUCCGCAAUGGGCGCAAGCCUGACGGAGCAACGCCGCCGUGAGUGAGGAAGUUCUUCGGAACGUAAAGCUCUGUUGUUCCUGACGAACCUCCCCUCUAUCAACAACGGAGGGGACUGACGGUAGGGAACGAGGAAGCCACGGCUAACUACGUGCCAGCCGCCGC
rnacentral:rRNA from 1 species